rnacentral:rRNA from 1 species
AUUGAACGCUGGCGGCAGGCCUAACACAUGCAAGUCGAGCGAGCGGCGGACGGGUGAGUAAUGUCUGGGAAACUGCCUGAUGGAGGGGGAUAACUACUGGAAACGGUAGCUAAUACCGCAUACCAUCAGAUGUGCCCAGAUGGGAUUAGCUAGUCUGUGGGGUAACGGCUCACCUAGGCGACGAUCCCUAGCUGGUCUGAGAGGAUGACCAGCCACACUGGAACUGAGACGCGGUCCAGACUCCUACGGGAGGCAGCAGUGGGGAAUAUUGCACAAUGGGCGAAAGCCUGAGGCAGCCAUGCCGCGUGUGUGAAGGAGGCCUUCGGGUUGUAAAGCACUUGCAGCAGGGAGGCGUUACCCGCAGAAGAAGCACCGGCUAACUCCGUGCCAGCAGCCGCGGUAAUUC